rnacentral:rRNA from 1 species
AUGAAGAAGACAGAAGGAAAACACAUUGGUUGCGUGGGACAAAUUAAUGGCAUGAACCUUCAUGAUCUCAGACUUUUUAAUCAAGCUCUUUUGGCUAAACAGGUGAAACCAUUAGCAGUUCUGGUGGUGGUUGGACCUCGGACCCUGCCACCAUUUGGCCAGAAUAUUCUCUUUAGGCAGAUCACGAGCAAGCAGGUGCAUGCUCAGGCUGGCCCUGUUUGGACUAGACCAAGUGCUGGUGGAUUGAAAUUGAAUAAAUAUGCUUCGGUAUUAGGAGAUGAAGCUCGAACAGGCAUGGUACUUAGAGACUAUGAUGGUUCUGUUAUCUUUAGCUCCUGUCGAUGCAUAACUUCAUGUGAUGACAUGUUAGAAGCUGAACUUCUUGCAUUAAAGGAAGGAAUUUCUUUGGCACUGCAAUGGAGUGGUCAACCCAUUGAUGUGGAAACAGACUGUAUGGAGGCUGUCAGGAUGAUCAAAGAAGGACAUAGGAACAAGUCUAAGUAUGCUUUCAUCGUUAGAGGGAUAAUUAGUAGUAUGGGAGAAAGGAGUUCUUGCGUUGCUCAUGCUCGUCGAAGUUGUAAUAAUGUUAGUCAUGCCUUGGCUAAUUUUGAUAGGGUGUAUCGCCGGACUAUGGUUUGGCUAGGCUCUGGACCAGAUGAAGUCAUGGAACUUGUAGAACGAGAUUGUAACAUCUAA